rnacentral:tRNA from 1 species
GGAGGUAUGCUGGAAUAGGCAGACAGGACGGUUUUAGGUACCGUUGUCCUAGUGACAUAAGGGUUCAAAUCCCUUUACCCCCA